UUAUCAAAAACAUGUCUUUUUGAAUUUAAUAUAAAGUCUAAUCUGCCCACUGAUAUUAUAAUAUAUUAAAGGGCUGCAGUAUAUUGACUGUACAAAGGUAGCAUAAUCAUUAGUCAUUUAAUUGAUGACUUGUAUGAAAGAUUGGAUGAAAUAUAAGCUGUCUCUUUAUUAUUUUAUAGAAUUUAAUUUUUUAAUUAAAAAGUUAAAAUAAAUUAAAAAGACGAGAAGACCCUAUAGAGUUUUAUAUUUAAAGUAAUUGAGAUUAUUUAUAAAGUUUUUAAUUAAAAUUAUUUUAAUUAUUUUGUUGGGGUGACAAAAAAAUAUAAAAAACUUUUUUUAUUAUUUAACAUAAAUAAGUGAGUAUAUGAUCCAAUAUUAUUGAUUAUAAGAAAAAAUUACCUUAGGGAUAACAGCGUAAUUUUUUUUUUUAGUUCGAAUAAAAAAAAGAGUUUGCGACCUCGAUGUUGGAUUAAGAUAAAAUUUAAAUGUAG
rnacentral:rRNA from 1 species